GGCCCUGUGGUGUAAUGGUUACAUGACCUCUCCUUAUUAAUGUUUGGGUUCCGAAUUAGGAGGAAGUUCCCUGUUCGAAUCAGGGCGGGGCCG